rnacentral:sRNA from 1 species
GAGUUCAACAUUUCACAUUCACCCUAAACUGCUCUCCCCAGAUCAGGAGCUACUGGAGAUUUUGAAGGAAAACAGGCCUAUUCCUAAAAUGUAAAAAGUGAGCAUGAAAAUUGCAUCUGAUGAUGACUUUCAGGAGAAACAGUUAGUGUGCCUAUGCAAGGUGAUCCGUGUGGGACAGAGCCAGGACUAUUACGAAGCACUUGAUAGCUCACCAAGGAGGAUUGAUGAGAAAAUUCAUUAUAAGGAGUUUGGCUACCGCGAAAUGCAUUUCCUGGAAACGUUAACUCUGAUGGUGUGGUCCGGCACGAAUUACAGCAUCCGAUUAUUGCCCGCUAUGUGCGCAUAGUGCCUCUGGAUUGGAAUGAAGAAGGUCGCAUUGGACUCAGAGUUGAAGUUUACGGCUGUUCUUACUGGGCUGAUGUUAUCAACUUUGAUGGCCAUGUUGUAUUACCAUAUAGAUUCAGAAACAAGAAGAUGAAAACACUGAAAGAUGUCAUUGCCUUGAAAUUUAAGACGUCUGAAAGUGAAGGAGUAAUCUUGCACGGAGAAGGACAGCAAGGAGAUUACAUUACCUUGGAACUGAAAAAAGCCAAGCUGGUCCUCAGUUUAAACUUAGGAAGUAACCAGCUUGGCCCCAUAUAUGGCCACACAUCAGUGAUGACAGGAAGUUUGCUGGAUGACCACCACUGGCACUCUGUGGUCAUUGAGCGCCAGGGACGGAGCAUUAACCUCACUCUGGACAGGAGCAUGCAGCACUUCCGUACCAAUGGAGAGUUUGACUACCUGGACUUGGACUAUGAGAUAACCUUUGGAGGCAUCCCUUUCUCUGGCAAGCCCAGCUCCAGCAGUAGAAAGAAUUUCAAAGGCUGCAUGGAAAGCAUCAACUACAAUGGCAUCAACAUUACUGAUCUUGCCAGAAGGAAGAAAUUAGAGCCCUCAAAUGUGGGAAAUUUGAGCUUCUCUUGUGUGGAACCCUAUACGGUGCCUGUCUUUUUCAAUGCUACAAGUUACCUGGAGGUGCCUGGACGGCUUAACCAGGACCUGUUCUCAGUCAGUUUCCAGUUUAGGACAUGGAACCCCAAUGGUCUCCUGGUCUUCAGUCACUUUGCGGAUAAUUUGGGCAAUGUGGAGAUUGACCUCACUGAAAGCAAAGUGGGUGUUCACAUCAACAUCACACAGACCAAGAUGAGCCAAAUCGAUAUUUCCUCAGGUUCUGGGUUGAAUGAUGGACAGUGGCACGAGGUUCGCUUCCUAGCCAAGGAAAAUUUUGCUAUUCUCACCAUCGAUGGAGAUGAAGCAUCAGCAGUUCGAACUAAUAGUCCUCUUCAAGUUAAAACUGGCAAGAAGUACUUUUUUGGAGGUUUUCUGAACCAGAUGAAUAACUCAAGUCACUCUGUCCUUCAGCCUUCAUUCCAAGGAUGCAUGCAGCUCAUUCAAGUGGACGAUCAACUUGUAAAUUUAUACGAAGUGGCACAAAGGAAGCCGGGAAGUUUUGCGAAUGUCAGCAUUGACAUGUGUGCGAUCAUAGACAGAUGUGUGCCCAAUCACUGUGAGCAUGGUGGAAAGUGCUCGCAAACAUGGGACAGCUUCAAAUGCACUUGUGAUGAGACAGGAUACAGUGGGGCCACCUGCCACAACUCUAUCUACGAGCCUUCCUGUGAAGCCUACAAACACCUAGGACAGACAUCAAAUUAUUACUGGAUAGAUCCUGAUGGCAGCGGACCUCUGGGGCCUCUGAAAGUUUACUGCAACAUGACAGAGGACAAAGUGUGGACCAUAGUGUCUCAUGACUUGCAGAUGCAGACGCCUGUGGUCGGCUACAACCCAGAAAAGUACUCAGUGACACAGCUCGUUUACAGCGCCUCCAUGGACCAGAUAAGUGCCAUCACUGACAGUGCCGAGUACUGUGAGCAGUAUGUCUCCUAUUUCUGCAAGAUGUCAAGAUUGUUGAACACCCCAGAUGGAAGCCCUUACACUUGGUGGGUUGGCAAAGCCAACGAGAAGCACUACUACUGGGGAGGCUCUGGGCCUGGAAUCCAGAAAUGUGCCUGCGGCAUCGAACGCAACUGCACAGAUCCCAAGUACUACUGUAACUGCGACGCGGACUACAAGCAAUGGAGGAAGGAUGCUGGUUUCUUAUCGUACAAAGAUCACCUGCCAGUGAGCCAAGUGGUGGUUGGAGAUACUGACCGUCAAGGCUCAGAAGCCAAAUUGAGCGUAGGUCCUCUGCGCUGCCAAGGAGACAGGAAUUAUUGGAACGCCGCCUCUUUCCCAAACCCAUCCUCCUACCUACACUUCUCUACUUUCCAAGGGGAAACCAGCGCUGACAUUUCUUUCUACUUCAAAACAUUAACCCCCUGGGGAGUGUUUCUUGAAAAUAUGGGAAAGGAAGAUUUCAUCAAGCUGGAGCUGAAGUCUGCCACAGAAGUGUCCUUUUCAUUUGAUGUGGGAAAUGGGCCAGUAGAGAUUGUAGUGAGGUCACCAACCCCUCUCAACGAUGACCAGUGGCACCGGGUCACUGCAGAGAGGAAUGUCAAGCAGGCCAGCCUACAGGUGGACCGGCUACCCCAGCAGAUCCGCAAGGCCCCAACAGAAGGCCACACCCGCCUGGAGCUCUACAGCCAGUUAUUUGUGGGUGGUGCUGGGGGCCAGCAGGGCUUCCUGGGCUGCAUCCGCUCCUUGAGGAUGAAUGGGGUGACACUUGACCUGGAGGAAAGAGCAAAGGUCACAUCUGGGUUCAUAUCCGGAUGCUCGGGCCAUUGCACCAGCUAUGGAACAAACUGUGAAAACGGAGGAAAAUGCCUAGAGAGAUACCACGGUUACUCCUGCGAUUGCUCUAAUACUGCAUAUGAUGGAACAUUUUGCAACAAAGAUGUUGGCGCAUUUUUUGAAGAAGGGAUGUGGCUACGAUAUAACUUUCAGGCACCAGCAACAAAUGCCAGAGACUCCAGCAGCAGAGUAGACAACGCUCCCGACCAGCAGAACUCCCACCCGGACCUGGCACAGGAGGAGAUCCGCUUCAGCUUCAGCACCACCAAGGCGCCCUGCAUUCUCCUCUACAUCAGCUCCUUCACCACAGACUUCUUGGCAGUCCUCGUCAAACCCACCGGAAGCUUACAGAUUCGAUACAACCUGGGUGGCACCCGAGAGCCAUACAAUAUUGACGUAGACCACAGGAACAUGGCCAAUGGACAGCCCCACAGUGUCAACAUCACCCGCCACGAGAAGACCAUCUUUCUCAAGCUCGAUCAUUAUCCUUCUGUGAGUUACCAUCUGCCAAGUUCAUCCGACACCCUCUUCAAUUCUCCCAAGUCGCUCUUUCUGGGAAAAGUUAUAGAAACAGGGAAAAUUGACCAAGAGAUUCACAAAUACAACACCCCAGGAUUCACUGGUUGCCUCUCCAGAGUCCAGUUCAACCAGAUCGCCCCUCUCAAGGCCGCCUUGAGGCAGACAAACGCCUCGGCUCACGUCCACAUCCAGGGCGAGCUGGUGGAGUCCAACUGCGGGGCAUCGCCACUGACCCUCUCCCCCAUGUCGUCCGCCACCGACCCCUGGCACCUGGAUCACCUGGAUUCAGCCAGUGCGGAUUUUCCGUAUAAUCCAGGACAAGGCCAAGCUAUAAGAAAUGGAGUCAACAGAAACUCGGCUAUCAUUGGAGGCGUCAUUGCUGUGGUGAUUUUCACCAUCCUGUGCACCCUGGUCUUCCUGAUCCGGUACAUGUUCCGCCACAAGGGCACCUACCAUACCAACGAGGCAAAGGGGGCGGAGUCGGCAGAGAGCGCGGACGCCGCCAUCAUGAACAACGACCCCAACUUCACAGAGACCAUUGAUGAAAGCAAAAAGGAAUGGCUCAUUUGAGGGGUGGCUACUUGGCUAUGGGAUAGGGAGGAGGGAAUUACUAGGGAGGAGAGAAAGGGACAAAAGCACCCUGCUUCAUACUCUUGAGCACAUCCUUAAAAUAUCAGCACAAGUUGGGGGAGGCAGGCAAUGGAAUAUUCUU